GAUGAACGCUGGCGGCGUGCCUAAUACAUGCAAGUCGAGCGAACGGACGAGAAGCUUGCUUCUCUGAUGUUAGCGGCGGACGGGUGAGUAACACGUGGAUAACCUACCUAUAAGACUGGGAUAACUUCGGGAAACCGGAGCUAAUACCGGAUAAUAUUUUGAACCGCAUGGUUCAAAAGUGAAAGACGGUCUUGCUGUCACUUAUAGAUGGAUCCGCGCUGCAUUAGCUAGUUGGUAAGGUAACGGCUUACCAAGGCAACGAUGCAUAGCCGACCUGAGAGGGUGAUCGGCCACACUGGAACUGCGACACGGUCCAGACUCCUGCGGGAGGCAGCAGUAGGGAAUCUUCCGCAAUGGGCGAAAGCCUGACGGAGCAACGCCGCGUGAGUGAUGAAGGUCUUCGGAUCGUAAAACUCUGUUAUUAGGGAAGAACAUAUGUGUAAGUAACUGUGCACAUCUUGACGGUACCUAAUCAGAAAGCCACGGCUAACUACGUG
rnacentral:rRNA from 1 species